AGAGUUUGAUCCUGGCUCAGGACGAACGCUGGCGGCGUGCUUAACACAUGCAAGUCGAACGAUGAUGCCCAGCUUGCUGGGCGGAUUAGUGGCGAACGGGUGAGUAAUACGUGAGUAACCUGCCCUUGACUCUGGGAUAAGCCUGGGAAACUGGGUCUAAUACUGGAUACUACCUCUUACCGCAUGGUGGGUGGUGGAAAGGGUUUUACUGGUUUUGGAUGGGCUCACGGCCUAUCAGCUUGUUGGUGGGGUAAUGGCUCACCAAGGCGACGACGGGUAGCCGGCCUGAGAGGGUGACCGGCCACACUGGGACUGAGACACGGCCCAGACUCCUACGGGAGGCAGCAGUGGGGAAUAUUGCACAAUGGGCGGAAGCCUGAUGCAGCGACGCCGCGUGAGGGAUGACGGCCUUCGGGUUGUAAACCUCUUUCAGUAGGGAAGAAGCGAGAGUGACGGUACCUGCAGAAGAAGCGCCGGCUAACUACGUGCCAGCAGCCGCGGUAAUACGUAGGGCGCAAGCGUUGUCCGGAAUUAUUGGGCGUAAAGAGCUCGUAGGCGGUUUGUCGCGUCUGCUGUGAAAGCCCGGGGCUCAACCCCGGGUCUGCAGUGGGUACGGGCAGACUAGAGUGCAGUAGGGGAGACUGGAAUUCCUGGUGUAGCGGUGAAAUGCGCAGAUAUCAGGAGGAACACCGAUGGCGAAGGCAGGUCUCUGGGCUGUUACUGACGCUGAGGAGCGAAAGCAUGGGGAGCGAACAGGAUUAGAUACCCUGGUAGUCCAUGCCGUAAACGUUGGGCACUAGGUGUGGGGGACAUUCCACGUUUUCCGCGCCGUAGCUAACGCAUUAAGUGCCCCGCCUGGGGAGUACGGCCGCAAGGCUAAAACUCAAAGGAAUUGACGGGGGCCCGCACAAGCGGCGGAGCAUGCGGAUUAAUUCGAUGCUACGCGAAGAACCUUACCAAGGCUUGACAUUCACCGGACCGCCCCAGAGAUGGGGUUUCCCUUCGGGGCUGGUGGACAGGUGGUGCAUGGUUGUCGUCAGCUCGUGUCGUGAGAUGUUGGGUUAAGUCCCGCAACGAGCGCAACCCUCGUUCUAUGUUGCCAGCACGUGAUGGUGGGGACUCAUAGGAGACUGCCGGGGUCAACUCGGAGGAAGGUGGGGAUGACGUCAAAUCAUCAUGCCCCUUAUGUCUUGGGCUUCACGCAUGCUACAAUGGCCGGUACAAAGGGUUGCGAUACUGUGAGGUGGAGCUAAUCCCAAAAAGCCGGUCUCAGUUCGGAUUGAGGUCUGCAACUCGACCUCAUGAAGUCGGAGUCGCUAGUAAUCGCAGAUCAGCAACGCUGCGGUGAAUACGUUCCCGGGCCUUGUACACACCGCCCGUCAAGUCACGAAAGUUGGUAACACCCGAAGCCGGUGGCCUAACCCCUUGUGGGAGGGAGCCGUCGAAGGUGGGACUGGCGAUUGGGACUAAGUCGUAACAAGGUAACC
rnacentral:rRNA from 1 species